rnacentral:rRNA from 1 species
AACGAACGCUGGCGGCGGGCCUCAUACAUGCAAGUCGAGCGCGAAAGUCCGCAAGGAUGAGUAAAGCGGCGCACGGGUGAGUAACACGUGGGUAAUCUACCUUUUGGAUUGGAAUAACCUGUCGAAAGACGGGCUAAUGCCGAGUAAGCUUUCUUGAACGUGAAGUUCGAGCAAGGAAAGAUGGCGCAAGCUAUCGCCGAUAGAUGAGCCUGCGUCCCAUUAGUUAGUUGGUGGGGUAAUGGCUUACCAAGACAAUGAUGGGUACCUGGUUUGAGAGAAUGAUCAGGCACACUGGAACUGAAACACGGUCCAGACUCCUACGGGAGGCAGCAGUAGGGAAUAUUGCGCAAUGGACGAAAGUCUGACGCAGCCACGCCGCGUGAGUGAGGAAGGCCUUCGGGUUGUAAAGCUCUGUCGCCUGGGAAAAACGGCUAUUCGGGGAAAGUUCGAGUAGCGUGAUGGUACCAGGAAAGGAAGCACCGGCAAACUCUGUG